CAUGCAGUGAUCUCAAACCUCGCAGUUUGUUAUUGGAAGUUUUUCUUCCAGUUUGGAGGGCAGGUUUCANNNNNNNNNNNNNNNNNCCUGCUUCCUGCCAAGCUGCCGCUGUGAGUGUUUUCAAGAAAAAACCUGGGUCAUCAUUUGAGAGCUUCAAAAACCUCAGUGUUCAAUUAGCCUUCUUUUGAAUCACUUUUGAUGGUUGGUUAAAUAUGGGUCCAAAGUGCUUUGUGUAAAUGGAGCCAAUCUUGGGGUGAGGAAAUUUGAUUUUCGGAGUGUUAAACUGAAAAAUACAUACUGUUUUCACAGCACCAUUACUAGAAAACUUGGAAACGGCAUUCUUCUAGGCUGUUGUGUUCAAUUCUAUUUUAUUGACAUCUGAACAUUUCAAAGUACAAAGCGUUAUUAUAGUAAAAGGACACUUGGAUAUUCUCCUUAAAGGAAUGUUGACAAGAUUACCAAGUAUGCUUUCUCAUCACUGUAUAUUUUAAAUGGCUCAGCUAUGACUCCCACGUUUGUUUGAGAAUCAUUGAAACUGCUUGAAUGGAACUGGGAUAUCCUUUGUUCCCACUGAUUUGGAAACAAACGACUCAGGAAAAAAAGUUUACUUUGCUGCUAAAUGCCAUAUGCAGAUGAACGUAUUGCUGAUUAAAUUAAACCAAGGAUCUGAAGACUUUUUCAAGUCAUAGAAAGAAUGCUCUCGUUGUUACGGUACAUGUUCCAAUUUGCCCUCCCGUUUUCGUUUAUCCUACUGGGCUUGGGUCCGACAUAGGGUUACUUACGUCACACACUCGAGUCUUCAGGAAUAAUAAAGCGUAAUCAAUACGGGAGAGGCAGCAUCAAAGACGACAAAAGAUGCUGUGUUGUUUCUGAGGUGGAAAAGAAGCACAUGGACAUAAGCAGGCAGUGCCCUCUGCUCAUUUUCUCCUCUCUUCAUCUUUUCCAGUUUCUCAAGGCUGAGGGUCUCAUCUCGUGGCACUGCUGACAUUGGGAUUGUUGUGCCUUGUGGGGUGUUUAUCAGCUUCCCUGGCCUGGACCACCACAUGCCAGCAGCACCCUGUUUGCAGUCAUGACAAGCAGCUUUCCCUCCUCCUACCCUGCUGCCACAUCACAUGUCCCCUAGAAGGGGGGAUCGUCACUGGCCAGCAGAUGAAGCAAAGAUCUGAAGAUUAACAAAACAAACAAAAAACCCAGAAAACUCCUCUGACACAAGAGAAACUUCUUGACAGUGUAAAAACUAAUCCACUUGGCUUCUAAGAAGUAGGCCUGAGCAGCUCAGAAUCAAAACACAGGA
ensembl:lncRNA